rnacentral:rRNA from 1 species
UACAGAGGGGGCAAGCGUUGUUCGGAAUUACUGGGCGUAAAGGGCGCGUAGGCGGCCUGUUAAGUCGAACGUGAAAUCCCCAGGCUCAACCUGGGAACUGCGUCCGAUACUGGCAGGCUUGAAUCCGGGAGAGGGAUGUGGAAUUCCAGGUGUAGCGGUGAAAUGCGUAGAUAUCUGGAGGAACACCGGUGGCGAAGGCGGCAUCCUGGACCGGUAUUGACGCUGAGGCGCGAAAGUCAGGGGAGCAAACGGG